UACGUAGGGGGCUAGCGUUGUCCGGAUUUAUUGGGCGUAAAGAGCGUGUAGGCGGCCAGGUAGGACUGCUGUGAAAACUCGAGGCUCAACCUCGAGACGUCGGCGGAAACCAUCUGGCUAGAGUCCGGAAGAGGAGAGUGGAAUUCCUGGUGUAGCGGUGAAAUGCGCAGAUAUCAGGAAGAACACCCGUGGCGAAGGCGGCUCUCUGGGACGGUACUGACGCUGAGACGCGAAAGCGUGGGGAGCGAACAGG
rnacentral:rRNA from 1 species